CGGAUGAUAUAGAUGAGGCGG
rnacentral:siRNA from 1 species